rnacentral:rRNA from 1 species
AGCUCCAAGAGCGUAUAUUAAAGUUGUUGCAGUUAAAAAGCUCGUAGUUGGAUUUCUGGUACAAUGCGCCUGGCCCGCGGCAGUAAUGCCUGUGAGUGCCGGUGCGCGUUUGCCAUCCUUCUAGAAAACGUUUCUACCCUUUACUGGGCCGGACUCGCGAUCUAGAUCUUUUACUUUGAAAAAAUUAGAGUGUUCAAAGCAGGCUCUUGCUGUGAAUACAUUAGCAUGGAAUAAUAAUCUAGGACUUCGGUUUUAUUUUGUUGGUUUCUAACACUGAAGUAAUGAUUGAUAGGGAUAGUUGGGGGUGCUAGUAUUGGCCGGCCAGAGGUGAAAUUCUUGGAUUCGGUCAAGACUAACUUAUGCGAAAGCAUUCACCAAGGAUGUCUUCUUUAAUCAAGAA